UGAGCAACCUGCCCUUGACCCUGGAAUAACAGCUGGAAACAGCUGCUAAUACCGGAUACGACCUCCGACGGCAUCAUCUGGAGGUGGAAAGCUCCGACGGUCAAGGAUGGGCUCGCGGCCUAUCAGCUUGUUGGUGGGGUGAUGGCCUACCAAGGCGACGACGGGUAGCCGGCCUGAGAGGGCGACCGGCCACAAUGGGACUGAGACACGGCCCAGACUCCGUACGGGAGCAG
rnacentral:rRNA from 1 species